rnacentral:misc_RNA from 1 species
GAUGAAGAACGUAGUGAAAUGCGAUACGUAAUGUGAAUUGCAGAUCUCUCAGUGAACCAUCGAAUUUUUGAACGCACAUUGCGCCCCCUGGUAUUCCGGGGGGCAUGCCUGUCCGAGCGUCAUUACAACCCUCAAGCUCAGCUUGGUGUUGGGCCCCGCCGCCCCGGCGGGCCCUAAAGUCAGUGGCGGUGCCGUCCGGCUCCGAGCGUAGUAAUUCUUCUCGCUCUGGAGGUCCGGUCGUGUGCUCGCCAGCAACCCCCAAUUUUUUUCAGGUUGACCUCGGAUCAGGUAGGGAUACCCGCUGAACUUAAGCAUAUCAAUAAGCGGAGGA